UCGGGGAUUUUGGGCAAUGGGCGAAAGCCUGACCCAGCAACGCCGCGUGAGGGAUGAAGUAUUUCGGUAUGUAAACCUCGAAAGAAUGGGAAGAAUAAAUGACGGUACCAUUUAUAAGCUCCGGCUAACUACGUGCCAGCAGCCGCGGUAAUACGUAGGGAGCAAGCGUUGUUCGGAUUUACUGGGCGUAAAGGGCGCGUAGGCGGCGCGGUAAGUCACUUGUGAAAUCUCUGAGCUUAACUCAGAACGGCCAAGUGAUACUGCUGUGCUAGAGUGCGGAAGAGNCAACCGGAAUUCUUGGUGUAGCGGUGAAAUGCGUAGAUAUCAAGAGGAACACCUGAGGCGAAGGCGGGUUGCUGGGCCGACACUGACGCUGAUGCGCGAAAGCCAGGGGAGCAAACG
rnacentral:rRNA from 1 species